rnacentral:lncRNA from 1 species
GUGUGAUUUGGCCAUAGCUCAGCUGAGGCCAGACAUCCAUUUAGGUCCUAGGAGUCAGUGCAGUUGGCGAUUAAAGGCCCAGCCUGUGAAUUUAGUGAUCCUGCCACUUACUAGCUGAGUGGACUCAGAUCUCUGCUGCUUUCUCUGUGGGAGUAUGAGGAUGCCCACCUUUCAGGCUGUUUGUGAGGAUUGCAUAAGAGAAAUUUGGAAAGCACUAGCUCAGUGCUAUAGUGACCUAUAGUAAGUGCUCAAUAGAUGCUAGCUAUUUUUGUGGCUAUUAUAAAAGCACUUCUCAGAGAACAUCCAUUUGCUCUCUUUCCCUCCUCUGGUCUCCCCCCACUUUCCUUUCCUAAUAGGAGUCUACAUCUGGGAACCAAAAACAUGAGAGAGAGAGAUAGAAAGAGACAGAGACACAGACACAGACAGACAGAUGAUGGAUGCUUCCAGAGAUCCUCUCAACUUGGCUGGGAGCUUCUUUGUCCAUGCUGUAAGACGGGCAUCUUGAGGAACACGCAAGGAAAGGAGAAUGAAGGCAUCUCACACGCAAGAUGGUCCAGAUGCCCCCUGGAAGAGGCAUCUUCGUCUUCAACAGAUUGAGGACAGUUGGCUGCCAUUCACUGCUUGCGAAGGGAAAAAGGCUUAAACUUCAGGUAAACCCCACAGUGAUCUCUUUGGUACCCACAUAUUUAUGACAUAAUCGUUCUCUUGCUGGUCUCUGUGUGUUUUUCUCCAGUGACGUGGUGGGAGACGGUUUGGGGGUGCUGUUACCUGUCUGUGGGGAGAAGUAGGCCAGAAUGGGGGGAAGUGUGGCUGGAGGGCCCUGGUCCUUCCCCAGAUGCCAUUUGCCGGUGGUCCCGAGACUUUGGGCAGGACGUUAUCUUCAGUUUUUUCCUCUAUAAAGUGACAGGAAGCCUAAACCCUUUGUCAGGCUGAUGAGCAAUGAAACGAGAUAGGCUUGGGAGCAUUUUGUGCAGUGCCUAGUAUGGAGUGAGUGCUGCGGAUCAAAUUGGCAUAAUUUUGGAGGGUCCUUGUUUCAAGGGUAUUUUUAUUUUGUUUAUGAGGCAACAUCUUCUUGUAGGAACCUCCCCAAAGAAGUGAUUCCCCCUCAAGUUAU